rnacentral:rRNA from 1 species
AAUGAACGCUGGCGGCGUGCCUAACACAUGCAAGUCGAGCGAGAAAGCUCUUUCGGGAGUGAGUAAAGCGGCGGACGGGUGAGUAAAGCACGAGAAUCUGCCCUUUAGUGGAGGAUACUCCUGAGAAAUCGGGCUUAAUACUGCAUAUCUCCUUGCGAGGAGAAAGAUGGCUUUAUGCUGUCGCUAGAGGAUGAGCUCGUGUACUAUUAGCUAGUUGGUGGGGUAAAGGCCUACCAAGGCGAUGAUGGUUAACCGGCCUGAGAGGGUGAACGGUCACACUGGAACUGAGACACGGUCCAGACUCCUACGGGAGGCUG